CUACGGGUUGCUGCAGUGAGGAAUAUUGCACAAUGGGGGGAACCCUGAUGCAGCAACGCCGCGUGGAGGAUGACGCAUUUCGGUGUGUAAACUCCUUUUAUAUGUCAAGGAAAUGACGGUAGCAUAUGAAUAAGCACCGGCUAACUCCGUGCCAGCAGCCGCGGUAAUACGGAGGGUGCAAGCGUUACUCGGAAUCACUGGGCGUAAAGGACGCGUAGGCGGGUUGGAAAGUCAGGUGUGAAAUCCUACAGCUUAACUGUAGAACUGCACUUGAAACUUCUAAUCUAGAGUAUGGGAGGGGGAGAUGGAAUUAGUGGUGUAGGGGUAAAAUCCGUAGAUAUCACUAGGAAUACCUAAAGCGAAGGCGAUCUCCUGGAACAUUACUGACGCUAAGGCGUGAAAGCGUGGGGAGAAAACAGGAUUAGAUACCCGAGUAGUC
rnacentral:rRNA from 1 species